CCAACACUGCCAUCAAAGGGCCAAAUGCACAUAGCAGCCUCAGAGCUGUGCCUCCUUGGUUGGGGGCCUGCGCUGAAGUCCUGACAGAGGACCUGUCCAUGGCAUCGCUGGCCCAGGCUGUGGCCAACCCUGGAUGGUCUAAGGAGACUGCAACUGGCUGAAUGGGGCUCUGUACCAUUUACCACAGGGUCCGAGAUGGGCAGAAGGGUUCUGUCCCUUCUCAGGUCUACCACUUGGGCAUUUGUGGAGCAUAAUUGGGCAUGUACAUGUCCUGAGUUCAGUGUAUUAUUGGGUUCCACUGACUUGGCCCUUGGGCAUUGUUAGCUUAUUAGAAAAAGAACAAGCUGACUGGGCCCCGUGACUUAAGGUGAGGCGGUGGGGACAUUUUAUUGCUUGUGAUUUCCCCUUUCCUGGGCCUGUGCUGGGGAAGAGGCCUGACUCCCACUGAAAGAAAGAACCUUGGAGGAUUCUGGUUCCCACAGUCAUCUCCGCCAGGAUGAUCUAUUUGGGGCUGGGCACUGAGACGUUGACCUCUCAGCAGAAACAAGGACAUGGCUGCAAUGGUGUUCCUUUUCCUGUGGCCACCAUCUGUGACCACUCUGUAUACUUCUCCCUUUGCACCUGGAUGGGCCCUCUGCACCCUCAGCACAGAAC
rnacentral:lncRNA from 1 species